rnacentral:lncRNA from 1 species
AGGAAUCGUGUCGCAUGGGCGUGCUUUAAAAGGGAAAUCUAAACCAUAAAAAUAAAGUGGCAGCAAAGAAAAAGAUCUCAUAAUGAUAAGAUUAUGCGAUUUUUGAAGAAUAUAGAAUGAAAAAGAUUGAGAGUACACACACUAAAUAAUGGUGAAACUUUGAAGGAACAGAGAUAUCAUAUUCAUAUGCAUAUUCAGAUUCCUC